CUUCUGGAUUGAAACAAAGAAAAAUAAAUGCAUAACACAGCAGAAUCCCCCAUAAGGCAAUGUAUAUCAUGUUUCUCUGAAUCAAACUCGCUUGCUCAAGGGAAUCAAUUAAUCAACCAGAUCUGAGACCCUAUUCGGCUGGGUUUAAACUAUUAUUCAUUGGCUGGCUUUGUCUCCAGUGACUUCAAAGUAACCCCUGUGCCCUAGACAUGGCUGCACCAUUUUUCUCAACACCUUUUCAGCCUUAUGUUUAUCAGAGCCCGCAAGAUGCAAUUAUACCUUUUCAGAUUUUAGGGGGUGAAGCUCAAGUGGUUCAGAUAAUGUUAAAGCCACAGGAAAGAAUCAUCGCAAAACCUGGUUCCAUGUGCUUUAUGUCUGGAUCCAUUGAAAUGGAAAAUGCCUACCUUCCCGAAAAUGAAGUGGGUGUAUGGCAGUGGUUAUUUGGCAAAACAAUAACUAGUAUUGUUCUUCACAAUUCUGGAACAAGUGAAGGAUUUGUUGGAAUUGCUGCACCAUAUUUCGCAAGAAUUCUUCCGAUUGAUUUGGCAAUGUUCAAUGGAGAGAUUUUGUGUCAGCCAGAUGCUUUUCUUUGCUCUGUCAAUGAUGUGAAGGUUAGCAACAUAGUAGAUCAGAGGGGACGAAAUAUUGUUGCUAGUGCUGAGGGAUUCUUGAGGCAGAAGCUAUCUGGCCAAGGGCUUGCUUUCAUAUUAGCGGGUGGAUCUGUUGUACAGAAAAAUCUUGAGAUCGGUGAAGUUCUAGCUGUUGAUGUUUCUUCCAUUGUUGCUGUGACAAGUACGGUCAAUGUCCAAAUAAAAUAUAAUGGUCCUGCACGAAGGACAAUGUUUGGGGAUUUACUUCCAAUUUCAAAGUUAUUCUUUAUUGAAGAAGACUUUACCAGCUGACAACUUCGGUUGUAAACUUCGCAAUUGUCUGUGCAUAUAUGCUGGCAAUAUUUGAGAGUUUGCAUUGCUAAACCAAUCAAGUCUCUUCAAAGUGAGGUGUAGUGUACGGGAUAGGGAUCCAACCCAUCCAUAAAAUUCUAAUACACACGGAUCACAAGAUCCUCGACAGUGGGCAAUUAUGCUAUAAUGACAAAGAUGAUACAGGCUACAAUACAGUGUAUUAGCAUUUUCAUCACGGGUGACAAUGCGGUCACAGCUCUUCUAACAGGACCAGGCAUUGUGUUCAUACAAAGUUUACCUUUUCAUCGGCUCUCCCAACGAAUUGCUAGGGCGGUGACUUCACCAAACAUGAGGGAAAAUCCC